rnacentral:rRNA from 1 species
UACGAAGGGGGCUAGCGUUGUUCGGAAUUACUGGGCGUAAAGCGUGCGCAGGCGGCCAUCCAAGUCAGUGGUGAAAGCCCGGAGCUCAACUCCGGAAUUGCCAUUGAAACUGUUCGGCUCGAGUACGAGAGAGGUGAGUGGAAUUCCCAGUGUAGAGGUGAAAUUCGUAGAUAUUGGGAAGAACACCGGUGGCGAAGGCGGCUCACUGGCUCGUUACUGACGCUCAGGCACGACAGCGUGGGGAUCAAACAGG